GACGAACGCUGGCGGCGUGCCUAAUACAUGCAAGUUGAGCGCUGAAGGAUGGUACUUGUACCAACUGGAUGAGCAGCGAACGGGUGAGUAACGCGUGGGGAAUCUGCCUUUAAGCGGGGGACAACAUUUGGAAACGAAUGCUACUACCGCAUAAAAACUUUAAACACAAGUUUUAAGUUUGAAAGAUGCAAUUGCAUCACUCAAAGAUGAUCCCGCGUUGUAUUAGCUAGUUGGUGAGGUAAAGGCUCACCAAGGCGAUGAUACAUAGCCGACCUGAGAGGGUGAUCGGCCACAUUGGGACUGGGACACGGCCCAAGCUCCUACGGGAAGCAGCAGGAGGGGAACUUCGGCAAUGGACGAAAGUCUGACCGCACAACGCCGGGUGAGUGAAGGAGGGUCUCGGAUCGUAAAACUCUGUUGGUAGAGAAGAAAGUUGGUGAGAGUGGAACGCUCAUCAAGUGACGGUAACUACACAGAAAGCGACGGCUAACUACGUG
rnacentral:rRNA from 1 species